GUGAGAAUGUUUUUGUGUUUUUGUGGCCACCGCAGGUUCUCCUUUAUGGACAGGUGUCUAUCUGACACACCUUUGCAGUCAGGUGUGCUUUUAAGCUCUGAUGGCCCCGCCCACUCUGUUUUGAUGCUGCAUGGCUGCUAGCAUGUCAGUAGCAAACUCACCUGUCAAAGUCUGAUCAAGUCACUUCAAGACGACUUUGUGGAGGAAAUAUGUGUUGUAUUCUUCUUCUAAUGCCUUCAUUCACAUCAGCCUUGGGCCACACGGGACCUCUUUAAACCGGAGAUCAUGUUUUUCUGUCCAUGAUGUAGCAGGAGGCCUCCACUCUGCCAAGGAACCAGGAACCUCUGCUGCACUAAUCCAAGGACGGGCCGCAGCAGCUGGGAAUGCACAUUGACCUCAAUGGGAGGAGCCAAGGUCAGCAAAAGUGAGGUCAAAAAGAAAGAUCAGACCCGUUGAGCUGUGGGCAGAGGUCAGUGUCGAGAGCGUUUGAGGCGACCACCCAAGGCCUCUGACCACACUGCACGUUGCUCCCAACCAGAGUGGGAUGUGGAGGAAGACCUUCGGCGUGUUACCGCCUUAUUCCCUCUCUCCCUCCUGUCUCUUUCUCCCUCUCCUUUCGUUAACCCGGUACAGGCGUCACGUGCCCACAUAGUUGAUCCUGGCUGUUAAGGACAGCGGGGCACAGCUGCACUCGGGACUGGAUUUCACCCUCCUCGCGUUGGAAAACCUCUUCACACUCUCCCCUGGGCAGCUGCAGAUGACCAACUUAGCAUGUCGGCAGUGAUGUCUGCAUUAAUUUGGUGGCUAUGUAGACUCGUUAUGGUGAAGUAACGUAUCGUUAAAACAACAGUCCGGACUGGACCAGAUUAAUCAGACACAGACAAAGUCUAAUAGCGUACAGAGGCAAAUAGACCUGAACCUGGCAACCACACAAAUGUUGACCACAGUGAGUUGACGAGGAGGUUUAAAGGUCCAAUUCAAUAAAUAGACUGACAAAUAAAUGUUUAAACUAGAGUUGCAAUUCCUCAGA